rnacentral:SRP_RNA from 1 species
AACCCCCCGUGUGGCGACAUCUUGCCCAAUCCCCCAGGGCCGAAAGGCAGCAAGGGUCAGCGAGCUCUGUCGGGUGCACGGGGGGCCUUU